ACAGCAGCUGUUGUUUGCUAGUUUUUCUCUUCUCUCUCGGUCUCUUGCAGUUGGAUUUUGAUAAGGUAUAUGACAUAGAUUUGUGUGUGUCAGCGGACAGAAUGGCACGGAUAAGUGUUUCUGCUUAUGAACAAUGCUGGGCUAGAACCGCAGAGGUCAAAAUAUAUAUGUUGUGUGCUUCAAAACACAAUUCUAUAUUGUUUUGAAAACAGAAUGAAAGAGUCUGUUAAGUUUUUGUUGUCCUGGUUAAAAAAAUUACUACUGGUGGUCUGAAAUGGGGACUGUGGGUCUUGUUGGUUUUUGGGGUUUUUCUUUUCUUUUUUUUUUUGGUGUGAAAGUCUGAAUGUUAAAGGAGAUGGUGUCGCUCUCUAGGAAAGAAUUGAGACAUUGAUGAUGCCAAAAUGCUGCUGAUAGAGAAAGGAGAAUGAAGACAGUUUUGUUCAGCGAUAAAAUCUAUAUUCCCUUAACGGGAAGAAGUGUUAGUGCAACACAACCCAUACAAUUAAGCAUUGUGAAAAGUUUGUUCCUUGUCACACAAGUAAGUGCUCACAUAUAUUUUCAUUUACUAUAUCAUCUCAUGAUUUAUUCGUUUACUUAAUGUGUAACUUGAUCAACUAAUAAACAUGAAACUAUUCUUCAUGCCGUCAUCAUGUUUUCUUUAUACGUCUCAUAUGUUAAUGAAGUUCAUUAAUCAAUACUAUUAAAAGGGAAAAGGGAAGGAGUUUAAAUAAAUCUACUUAAAAAGUUGUUUGAACCUUUCUAUUUUUUAUUUUU
rnacentral:lncRNA from 1 species